GAUGAAGAACGCAGCGAAAUGCGAUAAGUAAUGUGAAUUGCAGAAUUCAGUGAAUCAUCGAAUCUUUGAACGCACAUUGCGCCCCUUGGUAUUCCGAGGGGCAUGCCUGUUCGAGCGUCAUUAUAACCCCUCAAGCUCAGCUUGGUGUUGGGACCUGCUGCACUGGCAGCCCUUAAAAUCAGUGGCGGCGCCAUCUGGCUCUAAGCGUAGUAAUUCUUCUCGCUAUGGAGUCCUGGUGGAUGCUUGCCAUCAACCCCCAAUUUUUCUAUGGUUGACCUCGGAUCAGGUAGGGAUACCCGCUGAACUUAAGCAUAUCAAUAAGCGGAGGA
rnacentral:misc_RNA from 1 species